CCAAUAGCGUAUAUUAAAGUUGUUGCAGUUAAAAAGCUCGUAGUUGAAUUUCGGGAUUGACACAUCGGUCGUGCCUUAAGGGGUAUGAACUGGUGUAGUCAAUUUCUCACCUUCUGGAGAACCGCGAUGCCCUUAAUUGGGUGUCACGGGGAACCAGGACCUUUACUUUGAAAAAAUUAGAGUGUUUAAAGCAGGCAUUUUGCUUGAAUACAUUAGCAUGGAAUAAUAAAAUAGGACAGCAUGAUUCUAUUUUGUUGGUUUCUAGGAUCACCGUAAUGAUUAAUAGGGAUAGUUGGGGGCAUUAGUAUUCAAUUGUCAGAGGUGAAAUUCUUGGAUUUAUUGAAGACUAACUACUGCGAAAGCAUUUGCCAAGGAUGUUUUCAUUAAUCAAGAACGAAAGUUAGGGGAUCGAAGACGAUCAGAUACCGUCGUAGUCUUAACCAUAAACUAUGCCGACUAGGAAUCAGACGAUAUUAAUUUUUUAAUGACUCGUUUGGCACCUUACG
rnacentral:rRNA from 1 species